UCGCCCACGGUGGCAGCGGCGGCGGCAGCCCCGCGAUGGCUAAGGAAUGCGGCGGCUCCGCAUAACCACGGGGUCAGAGGUCACGGCUCGGGCCUCCGCUUUCCCGCGCUGCUGGGAAACCGAGACCGGACGAGUGGCGGGCCGAGAUGGCGAGACGCAGCUUUCCCUUCGACGCUCCGUCCUUACUAGCUCCCCGGCCUCCCCCGCUCCGGAAGAAAAUGGCUGCCUGAAGUGCUUGGACCACAUUUCCCGUCGUGCUCCGGGAAUCUUGCUUUCCGCCCACUCUCUUCCGUACCCCGCUGCGCUCAGAGCUCGGUAAAGAAGGGGGCGGGAAGUCAGUCAGGAAGGGAUGGGGCGGGGUCUCGCGAGGUUCGGGAACUAGCGGAGCCCUGAGGGUUUCUGGGAGGUGUUGCUGGGAAGGGGCGGUGGCUGGGUUCCCCCUAUCCGUGUUUAACCCGUUCUAUGCUUUUUGGGACUAGGGGCGGGUCCUGUGAGGGUGAGGAUCCGGAAUUGGUAGUCCAUUACCCUGCUUCCACUUUGGGCAUCCCCCUGAAUACAGUUCUUAUCUGCACGUCUGGUGGGUGACAAGAAGCAGUACUUUCCCUUUUGGUCCACCCUUAAAUGACUCAACUGGCGCAUAGUAAUAAGCAGAAAGACACUCAUAUCAGUAAAACGGUUAUUUCUUGAUUGACCGACCUAGACGGUUGCUUAUUUCCUCUUGUACUGUCGGACUGCAGUGUAUUUGCCGAGGGUGCACCUGCAGUCUACCGCAGAAUUGCUGUCAGAUGAAUUUGGUAAUAAAGACUUAAGGGCCAUUUAGAUCAAAAUGCACGUGUUAUUUUAGAGGUAGUACCCUGGAGAGAGAUCAGGUCCCAAUGGUCAACCAAAUCUAGAUUUAGAAUCCUAGCGGUCACUCCCUGACUCCUCUUAACCCCUGUGAGCCUCGAUUUGAUCUGUGUUAGCAUACUAUUGCACAAGAUUGAAAAGGUACAAAUUAGCAUGAAGUAUCUAGAAGAUCGGAGAGAGGAUGUGGAGGAUCCUGAUAUUAUUAGGCUCCUGUAAUUUGGCUUCUGACAUAGAAUAAAUGAUAGCUGUUACUACACACUCACAAACAGUGAGCAAUGGAGCUUCUCUCAGAACCUUGAUUGCAAGUGUUAAAUGGGAUGAGGUUUGGAGCACCCAGAACAUAAAGUAUUUUUCUCUUGCAUUUGUUGAAUCAAUAUCCAGAAACAUUUCUACAAUCAGCCUUGAACUGGAUUAGUGGCCCGUUUUUAAAACUAGGAAACCGGAUUUCAAAGUUUUUGGAAGGUUUCUGUGGGUGAGGAAAAACUCUAUUCUCUCAGGUGUUAGCACACAGGCUGCCAGGGCUGAGGCAGCAAUUACAGAGCAGUCUGACCCCUACCACCUAAGGGGCUCAGCAGUAUUUAGUUCUGGUCACACUAGGCUCAAAUCCAGAAAGCAAACAAUCUACAGUGAAUAGACUAUAGGUGAGAUUUACAUAUUUUUACAUCCCCCACUUGAUUUCAUCCCAACAGGGAGUUGAGGAAUAACUUCUAAAAUUGUUUCAUUUCUUUUUAUGACAUUUUAGGUUUGGUUUUGUUUUGAGACAGGAUCUCACUAUGUAGUCUUGGCUGUCCUGGAAUUCACUAUGUAGAUCAGGUUGGCCACUUGCUAUUGCCUCUGGAGUGCUGAGAUUAAAGGUGUAUAUUAGGAUUUUGUUGGGGGGGGAAUGUUAGUGCUAAAGAUUGAACCCAGGGCCUCACACAACCACUGAGCGCCCUUUAUUAUUAUUUUGAAACAAGAUCUCACAGUAUAAACAGGCUGACCUUGUCUUUGCCUCCAAUUAAUGCAUGUGGGAUUAAAAUACAUGCCCAGCUAUGCCUGGCUUUUUGUUGUUUUGUUUACAGUUUUUAUGUUUUCAAUCUGCAACUGAGUUGCCUCUGAGAGAAUGUUGUAACUUAUUUCAAACAUUUUGAAUCACUCAUAUCUCCAACACAUACAAACACUUCGAGAGAUUAAAUGAGGAAGAAUCACUCUAAAAUGCCUGCUUUUUGUUUUUCUGUGUAGAAAUUGAGCUCAUGCAUGGUAGCUACUAUACCACUAAACUACCUUCCAAGCCCUUUUUACCUUUUAUUUUUUCAAGUUCUUAUUAAGUCACAAAGGCUGGCUUGACUCUGCUCUACCUCCCCAGAAUAGUUGGGAUUACAGGCCUGUGCCAACAGAUCUGACUAAAAUAUUUAUGUUUAGAGUAUGGCCGCUGUGGCCAACAGUUCCUACCCAGGAGUAUCCAAACUUUCUUUCAUCCUCGUACACCACCAAACUCAGAAUUUAUUCCAUUCAGUGGGAAAAGAGCUUUGCAGGUAAGUUUAGGCCGUAAGGAAGAUCAUUACAUGAGUCCUUGAAAGCAUGGGUGUUUUGGAGCUAGGAAGCAACUCAGCUCACUGUUGCUGACGUUGAAGUGGCAGAAAGCAAAGGAGUGUAAGCAGCCUCUGGACUAAGAAGCCUGCUGACAGCAGCAAGGAAUUGGGGACUAUAGUCCUUCAAUCCAGCAGAGCUGAACUCUGGCAGUGUAGAUGAGCUCAGAAACAAGGGUCCUCAGAAAGGAAAACAGGCUCCUUGACUUCAGCCUCAGACUGAAGCAGGAAACCCCUGGAACCCACUCCAUAUUUCGACUUGAGCGUUUAUAAAUGUGUCUUUCAAACUACAGUCUGUGUUAAUUUCUUACAGCCAACAAAGGCUAAUGUAGAUAAUGUGGCAGCCCCUUUAGGUUAUCUCAGCAAGCACUGCCUCGUUGUCACAAAUGGAUCAGGCUGUGAGAAAAUCCACAUGUGAGUAUUUCAAGAUCUCUACCCUUGUAGAAUCAAACUAAUGACAGUGUCAUCAUGGAGCACAAAGAGAAAGUAUGUCUAGAGGGCUGCUGGAAAUGGGUGAGGCAGCUCAUGUCUAAUUUCAUCACUGGGGAGGUGGAAGCAGAGGAUUUUGAGUUCAAAGCUAGCCUAGGCUAUAAUGAGUUUGAAGCCAAUCUAGGAUAUACAGUGAGACUCAACAAAAAAAAAAAAAAAAGAGGGACGUGUUUGAAAGCAAGCUUUGGUUAUUAAUCCUUAAGCUUUUUUGAUUUGUUUUUUCAGCUAACAAGAAUCGACGUGUUUUCUUGCCAGAAGCAGCAAACACAUACAUGUUCUUUCUUAGUGUAUUUUUAUGUUGUUUUUAUCACAGUGCUUUUCUUACAGGCUACCUUUGAAAGUUAACACAGGUGCCGUGGACUGAGUAAAAUAAACAGAACUGCUAUUCAA